rnacentral:rRNA from 1 species
ACGCUCGACACCUACGGGGAGGCAGCAGGUGGGGGAUAUUGCACAAGUGGGGGAAACCCUGAUGCAGCAACGCCGCGUGAAGGAAGAAGGUCUUCGGAUUGUAAACUUCUGUCCUCAGGGAAGAUAAUGACGGUACCUGAGGAGGAAGCUCCGGCUAACUACGUGCCAACAGCCGCGGUAAUCUGAGGCGGGCUGGCAAGGC